UGAGUAACACGUAUCCAACCUGCCGUCUACUCUUGGCCAGCCUUCUGAAAGGAAGAUUAAUCCAGGAUGGCAUCAUGAGUUCACAUGUCCGCAUGAUUAAAGGUAUUUUCCGGUAGACGAUGGGGAUGCGUUCCAUUAGAUAGUAGGCGAGGUAACGGCCCACCUAGUCAACGAUGGAUAGGGGUUCUGAGAGGAAGGUCCCCCACAUUGGAACUGAGACACGGUCCAA
rnacentral:rRNA from 1 species